rnacentral:rRNA from 1 species
UACGGGGGGAGCAAGCGUUGUUCGGAUUUACUGGGCGUAAAGGGCGCGUAGGCGGUCAGCACAAGUCAGUUGUGAAAUCUCCGGGCUUAACUCGGAACGGUCAGAUGAUACUGCUUUGCUAGAGUGCGGAAGGGGCAAUCGGAAUUCUCGGUGUAGCGGUGAAAUGCGUAGAUAUCGAGAGGAACACCUGAGGUGAAGACGGGUUGCUGGGCCGACACUGACGCUGACAGCGCGAAAGCCAGGGGAGCAAACGGG